rnacentral:rRNA from 1 species
ACGGGAGGCAGCAGUCGGGAAUAUUGCGCAAUGGAGGAAACUCUGACGCAGUGACGCCGCGUAUAGGACGAAGGUCUUCGGAUUGUAAACUAUUGUCGUUAGGGAAGAGAAAGGACAGUACCUAAGGGGGAAGCUCCGGCUAACUACGUGCCAGCAGCCGCGGUAAUACGUAGGGAGCGAGCGUUAUCCGGAUUUAUUGGGUGUAAAGGGUGCGUAGACGGGAAAUUAAGUUAGUUGUGAAAUCCCUCGGCUUAACUGAGGAACUGCAACUAAAACUGGUUUUCUUGAGUAUUGGAGAGGAAAGCGGAAUUCCUAGUGUAGCGGUGAAAUGCGUAGAUAUUAGGAGGAACACCAGUGGCGAAGGCGGCUUUCUGGACAAAAACUGACGUUGAGGCACGAAAGUGUGGGGAGCAAACAGGAUUAGAUACCCUGGUA